GAUGAACGCUAGCGGCAGGCUUAACACAUGCAAGUCGAACGGCAGCACGGGUGCUUGCACCUGGUGGCGAGUGGCGAACGGGUGAGUAAUACAUCGGAACGUACCCAGUCGUGGGGGAUAACGUAGCGAAAGUUACGCUAAUACCGCAUACGUCCUGAGGGAGAAAGCGGGGGACCGUAAGGCCUCGCGCGAUUGGAGCGGCCGAUGGCGGAUUAGCUAGUUGGUGGGGUAAAGGCCUACCAAGGCGACGAUCCGUAGCGGGUCUGAGAGGACGGCCCGCCACACUGGAACUGAGACACGGUCCAGACUCCUACGGGGGGCAGCAGUGGGGAAUUUUGGACAAUGGGCGAAAGCCUGAUCCAGCCAUUCCGCGUGAGUGAAGAAGGCCUUCGGGUUGUAAAGCUCUUUCGGCAGGGAAGAAACGGCUUGGGAUAAUACCCCGGGCUAAUGACGGUACCUGAAGAAGAAGCACCGGCUAACUACGUGCCAGCCGCCGCCGUAA
rnacentral:rRNA from 1 species